GUCUGCCAGGUUGACAUGGAUAUGGAAGAGGAUGACGAUGGUAGUCCUAGUUUUCAAGAAACGAAGUCUGAGAAGACAGCAUUACCUCCUUCAAGAGAUGAUGCUUCUGAAGAUGAUGAGAAGAGAUGGGAUACAGAACCGGACCAUCUGAGAGAGGAAGUAAAAGAGUUAGGUAGGAGUAAAUGGUCAAAUGAUUUAGAUGAUGACGAUACAGAAAGAACUGAUGGUCG
rnacentral:misc_RNA from 1 species